GCGUCCGAUUAGCUAGUUGGUAGGGUAAAGGCCUACCAAGGCGACGAUCGGUAGGUGGUCUGAGAGGAUGAUCACCCACAAUGGGACUGAGACACGGCCCAUACUCCUACGGGAGGCAGCAGUGGGGAAUAUUGGACAAUGGGCGCAAGCCUGAUCCAGCCAUGCCGCGUGAGUGAUGACGGCCUUAGGGUUGUAAAGCUCUUUCGCUCGGGACGAUAAUGACGGUACCGAGAUAAGAAGCCCCGGCUAACUUCGUGCCAGCAGCCGCGGUAAUACGAAGGGGGCUAGCGUUGUUCGGAAUUACUGGGCGUAAAGCGCGUGUAGGCGGGUCUUUAAGUCAGGGGUGAAAUGCCAAGGCUCGACCUUGGAACUGCCUUUGAUACUGGAGAUCUUGAGUCCGGGAGAGGUGAGUGGAACUGCGAGUGUAGAGGUGAAAUUCGUAGAUAUUCGCAAGAACACCAGUGGCGAAGGCGGCUCACUGGCCCGGAACUGACGCUGAGACGCGAAAGCGUGGGGAGCAAACAGGAUUAGAUACCCUGGUAGUCCACGC
rnacentral:rRNA from 1 species